rnacentral:rRNA from 1 species
AGUGAACGCUGGCGGUAGGCUUAACACAUGCAAGUCGAACGGCAGCACAGUAAGAGCUUGCUCUUACGGGUGGCGAGUGGCGGACGGGUGAGGAAUACAUCGGAAUCUACUUUUUCGUGGGGGAUAACGUAGGGAAACUUACGCUAAUACCGCAUACGACCUACGGGUGAAAGCAGGGGAUCUUCGGACCUUGCGCGAUUGAAUGAGCCGAUGUCGGAUUAGCUAGUUGGCGGGGUAAAGGCCCACCAAGGCGACGAUCCGUAGCUGGUCUGAGAGGAUGAUCAGCCACACUGGAACUGAGACACGGUCCAGACUCCUACGGGAGGCAGCAGUGGGGAAUAUUGGACAAUGGGCGCAAGCCUGAUCCAGCCAUACUGCGUGGGUGAAGAAGGCCUUCGGGUUGUAAAGCCCUUUUGUUGGGAAAGAAAAGCAGCAGGUUAAUACCCCGCUGUUCUGACGGUACCCAAAGAAUAAGCACCGGCUAACUUCGUG